GUGCUCGAUUUGGGAGCACAUAUAAUAAAAAUUUGAAUGAUACAGAGAAGAUUAGCAUGGUCCCUGCACAAGGAUGGCAUGCAAAUUCAUGAAGCAUUCCAUAUUUUU